GAUGAAGCGAAGCAAAGGCAAAAGAACAGGUUUUUCCAGACACCAGCUAAAAAGAGGUUCGUUUGAAAAAAUGCGAUUCCAAAGCUUGUCAACCAUGUGGACUGAAAAGGGACCUCUCACUUUAACUCUGCAAAUCUGGACAGCUGUGAUGAGAAACACUGAAACAGCACACCUAAUCCUAGAAACAGGAGUCAGCCAGAAGUAUCCUUGUUCCAGAAAGAAAAAGAAAGAAGAGAAAGAAAGGAACAAUAGCCAAGCAGUUGAUGGAUUUCAGCAGUUUCUUUUCCAGCUUUCUCAUGGACAAUGGCAGUACUUCAGAGUUUAUUAAAUUAAAAC